UACGGAGGGGGCUAGCGUUGUUCGGAAUUACUGGGCGUAAAGGGCGCGUAGGCGGUGCGAUAAGUCAGGCGUGAAAGGUCCGGGCUCAACCCGGGGACUGCGCUUGAUACUGUUGCGCUGUGAGUCCGGGAGAGGAUGGCGGAAUUCCCAGUGUAGAGGUGAAAUUCGUAGAUAUUGGGAAGAACACCGGUGGCGAAGGCGGCCAUCUGGACCGGCACUGACGCUGAGGCGCGAAAGCGUGGGGAGCAAACAGG
rnacentral:rRNA from 1 species